UCUAAGGGAUUCAGUCAGACCUAUGUUCACAAGGAAGUGAAUUCCAUCAAUAAUUAUUGAGCCUAGAAUACUGUUGUGAAUAUUAAAUUGGGCUACUUCUAGGCUUACAUCUUGAUUCAAGUCUUGGGAGGAUCUAAACAGAGGGCUAGCCCAAUUACACUGGGAUUUCUCACCAAUUCUGCCAGCAAUCUGCACUCAGUGGACACCACACAGAGAAUUCUAGAAUUUCACCUCUCGGCUAGCAAAAUACAGCAGAAUGAUCUUUCAGGAUUCUGGAUAACAUCAACAAGCUGAAGCUUCCAGCAGCCGCAAGAUCACAAUGGAAACAAUCAAGAUCCUCUACAGUAUGCUGUGUUGCUAAGCUAUCAUGCUUGGCAGUUGUAUUAAAUGUAUUUUUGAAUUACUCUUUCAA